CUACCGGUUCUCGUUAGAUCACCGAAGUCAAGCAUCAUUGGGCGCGGUCAGUACUUGGGUGGGUGACCACCUGGGAACACCGCGUGCCGU